rnacentral:rRNA from 1 species
UACGUAGGGGGCAAGCGUUGUCCGGAAUCAUUGGGCGUAAAGAGCGCGUAGGCGGUCCGGUAAGUCCGCUCUGAAAGUCCGGGGCUCAACCCCGGGAGGCGGGCGGAUACUGUCGGGCUAGAGUCCGGAAGAGGCGAGUGGAAUUCCGCGUGUAGCAGUGAAAUGCGUAGAGAUGCGGAGGAACACCGAUGGCGAAGGCAGCCCCCUGGGUCGACACUGACGCUCAGGCACGAAAGCGUGGGGAGCAAACAGG